rnacentral:rRNA from 1 species
CCUGAACGCUGGCGGCGUGGCUAAGACAUGCAAGUCGAACGGGCUGGCCCGCAAGGGUCAGUCAGUGGCGGACGGGUGAGUAAAGUAUCGCUAACGUGCCCCCGAGUCGGGGAUAGCCGGCCGAAAGGCCGGGUAAUACCGGGUAAGACCACACCGGGCAUCCGGUUGUGCUCAAAGCCGCAAGGCGCUCGGGGAGCGGGCGAUAUCGUAUCAGCUAGUUGGCGGGGUAACGGCCCACCAAGGCGACGACGCGUAGCUGGUCUGAGAGGACGGCCAGCCACAUCGGGACUGAGACACUGCCCGGACUCCUACGGGGGGCUGCAGUAACGAAUCUUCCGCAAUGCACGCAAGUGUGACGGAGCGACGCCGCGUGUGGGGCGAAGUCCUUCGGGAUGUAAACCACUGUCAGGGGCUACCAAGUUCUGAGGGGCCCCAGAGGAAGGCACGGCUAACUCUGUGCCAGCAGCCGCGGUAAGACAGAGGUGCCGAGCGUUAGGCGGAAUCACUGGGCUUAAAGCGUGUGUAGGCGGACCGUUAAGUGUCCUGUGAAAUCCCACGGCUCACCCGUGGAACGGCUGGGCAGACUGGCGGUCUUGAGAGGCCUAGGGGCAGACGGAACAAGCGGUGGAGCGGUGAAAUGCGUAGAUAUCGCUUGGAACGCCGACGGCGAAA